UGACAACCGUUUUAUAAACGCAAGAAGGAGAAUCCUAACAGUGUUGCCAUAGUUAUAUAAAAUAUGUUUUCUUAUGAAAAUUACAAUUUUUCAAUUCUUAAAUAUGUCAUUUUACUUAUUCUGACGCAUUUUUAACACAAAAUGACUGCUUUAUUACAAGGGUCAGGUUAGUUCUGGUUAGGUUUCGUUACGUUAGGUUAGAUUACAUCAAGUUUAUUAAUAUUAUAGUGAUUUAUGAUUAUAUUUUAAUAAAUAAAUUCUGUGGGAUUCCCAGAAUACACUUUCAAGGUUGGAAUGAAAUUUUAUGUAUUUCAUGGUUAUGUACUGUCACUGAUUUCGGGAAACCAUGUUGCCAUGUGAAUGACAAAAGAUAAUUUCACAUGAAAACAUCGAUUUUUGUCCAUUUAAGCGUACCAUUGAUUUGGAAUAUUUAUGCAAACCUCUAAAUUUGGCAACUGUUUUUGAAAAAUUGGUAGAUGCAUGCAUUGACGCAUUUUUUAAACAGUUUAUUGUUAGUUUUUAGUUUGUUAGGUCGGUUGUUUGUGCUGCGCCCUGGAUUUGGGCGUUGUCUGUUGCAUCAUAUACAAAUUUGUGAAAGUGAAGUUAGUUUAUCGGGUUUGGACCGAAGGGUUAGGCCUUCCUCCUUUCAGACCGCUGCGCCCAAUUGCAAUCUGCCCAGUUUAUCGUUAAAUAAAGGUGAAGUGAGACUAAAUGGUGUGUAGGUGUUACGAAAGUAAAUUUAAGUACAAUUAAGGUGUGGCUUUAAUACCUAUAUUCACAAAGAAAAGGCCUCUUUCGAAGCUAGUAAACUGCAGGCAGAGGAAAUAAAUAUGUUGGUGGCAACUUUUAUUACAUUUAAAGCCACGAAUUUGGCUUUGGACUCUCAAAUUGCAUCGAUCUAUAGCUGUUUUG